UUGCAUCUCCUGGUUUUGAUUUUCUACUCCCUGAUUCAAAGAGGUGAGUAGCUUAUUAAGUGUAUCAUCAUCCAAGGACGUACCUGAAUUGAUUUGGGUUGAUUGUUGUGGUGGCUGUGACGGUUCAUAUGGCCACUGAUAGAACUCUUCUGAUGGCGGCAAUUGUUCUUCUUUUUGUGAACCCUGCGUCAAAGAAAUUAGUCCUUCAAGAAUUUCAUUAUAAUUCACGGGCAUACUUUGAUUUGAUUGGAAUUGUUGUGGGGGAUACUGUGGUGGCUGCAUAGGUCUUAAAUAGAACUCGUCUUGCUGCCAAUAUCCACCUUGUUGAAAUUGUUAAGGUUCAUCCCACAUAUAAUCUGAAUUACCUCUCCAAUCUGAAUUGCAAGCGUUGGAAAACAUGUUGCCCCUUGAUUGGUUAUGGCCUUGAUAUCCCCAAACAUCUUCAUUUGCAGAAAAUUGAGGACUUUGAUAUCCUUGCCCAUAGGGCACAUCAAAUGUAGGGACACUUGGCAUUGUGGUCCGUUCGGCAUUAUGAGUCA
rnacentral:lncRNA from 1 species